GACGAACGCUGGCGGCGUGCUUAACACAUGCAAGUCGAACGGAAAGGCCCUGCGUUUGUGGGGUGCUCGAGUGGCGAACGGGUGAGUAACACGUGAGUAACCUGCCCUUGACUUUGGGGUAACUUCAGGAAACUGGGGCUAAUACCGGAUAGGAGCUCCUGCUGCAUGGGGGGGGUUGGAAAGUUUCGGCGGUUGGGGAUGGACUAGCGGCUUAUCAGCUUGUUGGUGUGGUAGGGGCUUACCAAGGCUUUGACGGGUAGCCUGCCUGAGAGGGUGAACGGCCACAUGGGGACUGCGAUACGGCCCAGACUCCAACGGGAGGCAGCAGUGGGGAAUAUUGCACAAUGGGCGGAAGCCUGAUGCAGCAACGCCGCGUGCGGGAUGACGGCCUUCGGGUUGUAAACCGCUUUCGCCUGUGACGAAGCGUGAGUGACGGUAAUGGGUAAAGAAGCACCGGCUAACUACGUG
rnacentral:rRNA from 1 species